rnacentral:rRNA from 1 species
UGCCAGCAGCCGCGGUAAUACGAGGGGUCCUAGCGUUGUUCGGAAUCAUUGGGCGUAAAGCGGGUGCAGGUGGCACCGUAAGUCAGAUGUGAAAGCCCAGGGCUCAACCCUGGAAUCGUCGUAGAAACUAUUGAACUUGAGGUAUGAAGGGGCAGAUGGAAUUCCAGAAGUAGGGGUAAAAUCCGUAGAUCUCUGGAGGAACACCAAACGCGAAGGCAUUCUGCUGGUCAUUACCUGACGCUGAGGGACGAAAGCGUGGGGAGCGAACGGGAUUAGAUA